UACGUAGGGGGCGAGCGUUGUCCGGAGUUACUGGGCGUAAAGCGCUUGUAGGCGGUCCACCAAGUUUGGGGUGACAGUUGCCGACUUAAUCGGCAAAGUGCCUCAAAGACUGGCGGACUUGAGGGCCACAGAGGGACAUGGAACUCCAGGUGUAGUGGUGAAAUGCGUAGAUAUCGGAAGGAACACCAGUGGCGAAAGCGGCUUCCUGGUCCGACACCGACGUUCAGGCACGAAAGCGUGGGGAGCAAACAGG
rnacentral:rRNA from 1 species